rnacentral:rRNA from 1 species
CGCCUGGGGAGUACGGCCGCAAGGCUGAAACUCAAAGGAAUUGACGGGGGCCCGCACCAGCGGUGGAGCAUGUGGUUUAAUUUGAAGCAACGCGAAGAACCUUACCAGGUCUUGACAUCCUUUGACAACCCUAGAGAUAGGGGUUUUCCUUUGGGAGCAGAAUGACCGGUGGUGCAUGGUUGUUGUCAGCUUGUGUUGUGAGAUGUUGGGUUAAGUCCCGCAACGAGCGCAACCCUUGAUUUUAGUUGCCAUCCUUAAGUUGGGCACUUUAAGGUGACUGCCGGUGACAAACCGGAGGAAGGUGGGGAAGACGUCAAAUCAUCCUGCCCCUUAUGACCUGGGCUACCCACGUGGUACAAUGGACGGUACAAAGAGCUGCAAGACCGCGAGGUGGAGGUAAUUUCAUAAAACCGUUUUCAGUUUGGAUUGUAGGGUGCAACUUGCCUACCUGAAGCCGGAAUCGGUUGUAAUCGCGGAUCAGCCUGCCGCGGUGAAUACGUUCCCGGGCCUUGU